AUACGCAUAUCUCUCUCUUAUCUCCCCCAACCGAUCACGGUACCACCGCCACUUCACUAUCACCGGUGAACCACCAGAUAAACUGCGCCUCCACUAGCAAUAACCACAACAGCAGCAGCCGGCGGAGCGGCUAUAGUGAUUGCUGCUCCUCCGUUCUCCCUCCUCAUUACCUCAUCUCCGCUAUCAGCAACCAACCAAUCACCGAUGUUGCUGCUCCAUUCUUCUCUCUCCGCCGAUAAAAUAGCAAUAACAACAAUAGCCACUACCGCCGGCAACAUUUUCCCCAAAACCAGCUACUCUCCUCUUCUCUUUUCUUUUUUUUCGUCGCGUCGAAAUUGGUCACAGUGGGCGUCCAGCCACCAAACACACCACGUGUUUCUCUCUCUUUCUCCUUGCUCCCUCCAUUUCACUGGAAGUGAUGACCAGCGAGCAACACCAGCCACCACCAGUGUAUAAUCUCUGUUUACCCCCGGUUCUAUUUAAAAAGAAAAAAAUUAUUAUUAUUUUUUUUAGAUCUAUUUGGGCUAUUGUAUUUUUGGCGUUGCUUCGACGAAAGUCGUUGAAGAAGCGCCAUUACAGUCAUUGUCUUAUUAUAUACGUUAAUGUGGUUGUUGGUUUUUAGAUUCAUAAAUAUGGUU
rnacentral:lncRNA from 1 species